CUGUGGCAGGUUUUUCCCUUUCCCACAAGACAAGGAAGGAGGGCCUUUAUCCCAACCUUUCCUGCAGCUUAGAGAGGUGCCCUUACAUCUCCUUGCGCCUCCCACCGCACUUGUAAAUAGAUGUGCUUUCCCCAGGAGGGCCCCCAUAGGAGCUGGCUCGGGGUGGAUUUUGCAUUUUUGACUCAUCUCGCUGGACGUCCGUGCUCAAUAAGCACUAAGUGCCUAAUAAGCCCCAACCCGGUCAGUCAUUCAGUCAGUCAACAUUUUCACGGACAUGCUAUAAUAGAACAGUUCACCUGGCCCACAGCAGGGUUCCAAGAGGUGAAUCCGUUACCUGACUGCAGUUCUUGCUUGGCAUAGGGGCUUUAGGCAUGCAGAGUGGCAGAGAGGCCAGGAAGCAUCCAGGCCACAGACUGAGCCACCCAAAUGGAAACGUUGUGGACCUCAAGACAUCUUUUGACUGCACAGAGAGAUGUUGCCUUCCGUAUUUCUAGCAGCACAACUCCAAGCCUCACCCAACAAAAGUGUCUCAGAAAAUUCGUUCAGGAUACUUCUUCACUGGGUUGGUUUAUCUAGGGUGGGGUGGUGCGGUAAUAAAGUAUCCGGGAGCUGUCUGAAGUAGCUGCAGAGUGUCAAGAGAUGUUGUUGGCAAUUCCUUUGCAGUGUUACUGGUACCAGGGAUCAAACUUGGGACCUUGUGCUUGGGAGGCAGGUGGUGGCACCACUGAGCUAAAUCCCUGGCCCAGGAUUUGUAAUUUUAGGCUCAGCUGAAGAACUGCCCUUUCCCCAGAUGCCUUCCAGGAUCUACUCAAGCUUGAAGUAAUUCCUCUCUUUCCUGGGGAUCGAACUUGGGACCUUGCGCUAACAAGGCAGACAGCGGAACCACUGAGCUACAUCCCCAGCCCCAUCACUGGGGUUUUUUAAUAGAGAAUUGUGAAGAUGAUAGAAAUUAAUACAUGUAAAGUAUUUGCAACAGUGCCCAGCUCAUACACGUCUGGAAGUACCAAAAUUUGAUUAUUCUGACUGCUCAAAAUAUGAUCAUUCUGUGAACAGUGGAAUAGAAAUAUCUUACAGGUUACAAAAGACUGUGACUUCCAUUUUGCUAAUACUCUCACAUGCUCCCUCUGAUGAAGCCUGCUGCCAUGUUGUGAGGGGCUCUAUGGGAAGGCCCUCCAGCCACCAGCUGCUGAGGAACUGAGGCCUUAUUCUACUAGUACCCACAAAGACCUGAGUCCUGACAGAAGCCAUUUGCGUGAACUUAGAAGCAGAUCCUCCCUAAUAGUCUUCAGAGGAGACUGCGUCCCUGUGGCCUCAUGAGAAACCCUGAAGCAGAAGGUAGCUAAGCCAUGUCUGGAUUCCUGAAAUACAUGGCUUAAACUGCUGAGUUUGGAAGGGUAUAAUUUCUUAUGCACCAUGAUAACUAAUUCAUCUUCCAAGACAUAACUAUUAUCUUAAAUGUGUUAUCAUUCUUAUAUAUAUCUGUAUAAAGACUAUUUAUGUAUGUGUAUGGAUAGGAAUAAUUUGUCAAUUUUUUAUACACCAUGAUAACUAAUUCACCUUCUAAGAGGUAACCAUUGUCUUAAAUGUGUUGUUUCUCAUUCUUAUAUGUGUCUUUGUAUAAAGUCUAUAUAUACAUGUAUAUAUGCAUACACAUACACACAUUUGUGUGCAUAAUUCUCAUGCAUGUGUAUAUAGAAAAAUUGUAUGGAAUGUUUUUAAAAUUCAUAUGGGUGCUAUGAUAAUAGCUGUAUCCUUCUGGAACUAGCUUUUCCUUCAUUCAUUUUUGUAUUACCUCCACUCAGUCUUUGCCCUUCCAAGAACCCUUUCUCUGUCUCCGCCACUGUGGGUUUUAGUCUCCUCCUUAGCUCAGCCCUUGCUGUUUUGUUCAGUUUACCUGCAAAAGUCCCAAGCCAGUGAAUUAAGCUCAGUCCUAUCUUAGACUAAGCUUAGCUUCUUCCCUUUCUAAACCAAAAUCUAGGUGUAAGCUCUUCAAUAUCACAUGGACCUCUGGGCAUACCCACAUCAUCACUUUGGUUUCCUUCAGUAGUGGUGCUUCUCUCUCACUGUUUAUCUUAAAGUUUAAUGUGUAUAGUAAUUACCUGUGCACUUCGUUAUAAUGUGAUUUUGACUCACUAGAUCCACAAAGGGCCUGAUAUUCUGUAUUUCUGCAACACGUCUAGGUAUCACUGAUGCUCAUGCUCCAUGGGCCACAUGUUUAACAGCAAGGUUUCAGAGGCUAGAAAUCUAUUUGCAAAAAAUUGUUUUAAUUUGACAAUAUAUAUUGGACAGCAAUACAAGAAUUUAAAUCUAUCCAAUGAUAGAAUAUGAUAGCUUUCUAAGGUAAGGUGGGCUAAUAAACAAAACCAAAUACAAACAAUAUAAGAAAAUACUUUAUGCAGUGAUUUUUACCUAAAGCAACCCAAAGGAAGAAAAUAAUAGAUUGGAGUUGAAAUUAAUGGAAUAAGUAAUAGAAAAACUAUAGAGAAAAUCAGUGAAGUCAAAAGCUAGUUCUUUGAAAAAAUCCACAAAAUUGUCAAAUCAUUGGCAAAGUAGAAUAAGAAAAACAGAUGGAAGACUCAAGUUAUUAGAAUCAGAAGUAAAAAAGAGAACAUUACUACAGACAUUACAGAAAUAAAAUGUAAAGGAAUACUAUGAACAAUUGUAUGCCAAUAGAUGGAUUAAAUGGACAAAUUCCUAGAAAGAUGCAAACUACUGAAAUGAAUUCAAGAAGAAAUGACAAAUGUUGAAAUAGAUUGUAUAGGUUGAGCAUCUCUAAUCCAAAAAUGUGACAACUGAAUGCUCCAAAAUCCAAAACAUUUUCAGCACUGACAUCACACCACAAAGUGAAAAAUUGCAUACCAUGAAAUUUUCUUUCAUAUGCAAAAUCAUUAAAAAUAUAUAAAAUUCCCUUCAGGCUAUGUAUGUAAGAUAUAUAAAAAUAUAAAUGUAUACAUGUUUAGACUUGGGUCACAUCUCCAAGACAUCUCAUUAAGUACAUGCAGAUAUUAAAAAAUCAAAAAAAUCUGAAAUCAAAAUUAAGAUAAGGGAUACUGAACCUGUAAUUAAAAAUAAUAAACUGCCCACAAGCAAAAUUCCAGGCCCAGAUGGUUUACCACUGAGUACUAACAAAUAUUUAAGGAACUAACACUAAUUCUUUACACAUUUUCUCUAAAAUAGAAAAGGAUGGAACACUUCCCAACUCAUUCUAGGAGUCCAAGAUUUCCUGGAUUCCAAAACCAAAGCCAUCACAAGAAAACUACAGACCAGUAUACUUUAUAAAUAUUUGUGCAAAUAUCCAAAAUAAAAUACUGGAAAAUUGAAUACAACAACAUAAAAGAGAAUCAUGUACUAUGAAAGUGGCAUUUAUCCCAGGAAUAUAGGUUGGUUUAGCAUCUGAAAAUCAGUAUAAUAUACCAUUGACUAGAAUAAAAACAAAAUCACAUAGUGCAUCAUCUCAAUAGGUGCAUAAAAAAGCAUUUACAAAGUGCAACACCCCUUCACAGUGAAAAUACGGAACAAACUAGAAAUAGAGGGGAACUUUCUGAACUCACUAAAGGAUAUCUGUGAAAAAUCCACAGCUAACAACAUACUUAAUGAUGAAAGAAUGGAUGCUUCACCAUUAAAAUUAGAAACAAAGAUGCCACCAUCUUAACAUUGUACUGGAAUUCUACCCAAGGCAAUUAGGCAAGAAAAAGAAGUCAUCUGGAUUUACUAUUUAUGCCACUAAAAGAAUGAGCAAGAAAAAAAAACAGAUUUGACUUCAUCACAAUUAAAAACUUGUGUUUCAAAAGACACCAUAUGUUUUAGUCAGUUUUCUGUCACUGGGACAAAAUACCCGAGAGGUUUAUUUCACUCACAGUUUCCAGUGGGUGGAUCCGACACACUGUUAAAAUGCACCCAAGUUCUCAAAAGGUUCUUGACUGUAGAGGAAGAAAAGGAAUGGUGUCCUAGCUGGAAGGCAUAUUUGCAGGAUUUGAUGGAAGUCCUGUCGAAAAGAUAAUGACUAGUAGGGCACUUCCUUUGCCUUUCCCUCUUUCUGCUAAUUACAUAGCUCAGGGAAUAUCCCCCUGCCCUCCCAUCUUAGCAGUAUGAAUGUCUCAGGUAAAAACAUACCCAUGUAUCUUGGUUAACAGUUUCAGUUUGAUAACAUCAUACUCAGUAAUUAGGGGGCAAAGAGAUACUCCCUGGUGAGCAGAACAGUAGAGUUUCAGGGGCAGUCCCUAUCAGCUUCAAUGAUAGGAGAUUAGAAACCCACUUUACUGCUUAGAAAUGUGUGGCCAAAUUAGGACUUGGGCCCACUCUUUCUAAACUUCAGGCUGUUUAUUUGAGCCUUGCAGGGAUGGAAGUAGUUGCUUACAGGCUACUUAUUAAACACUAAGUAGAAUGGGAAGUAAAGGAAUGACUUGAAGCUCCAGGGUUUGAAAUUAAAAACUCAAAGUACUUCUGGAAUGAUUGCCGAAUAACACUCAGUGGGGAAAUAUGACAUGAAUUCCUCAAAGGGAAAUUACACAUAGGGAUCUAAAAUUGAUUCCUGUUUUUCUCCCAUCCCCUUUCUUUUAUCGAUUCCCCCCCCCCAUGGUUUCCUUUUCCUUUUGAACACUUUCUUCCUAUUUCACAUUAUCUCUUAUACAUUUUGGUCCUUAUUUACCCUUUCAGUUUCUCACACUAGAUAGACAAUGUGAUAUUUACACAUAUGUAUCUGACUUCACUUAAAGAGUAUGGUCUCAAGGACCAUCCAUUGAGCUAUAAGUGUCUCAAGUUUAUCUUUAUGGCUGAAUAGUGCUCCAUUGUAUUAAAAAAAAUUUUUAUCCAUCGGUUGGUGGGCAUUUGGGUUGUUUCCAAGCUUUAGCUAUUACAAACUGUGUCGCUAUAAACAUGGGUGCACAUAUAUCACUGUGAUAUGAUGCUUUUAUUCGUUUGGGAAGAUACCCAGCAAGGGAGUAGCUGGGUCAAAUGGGACCUCUAAUCCUACUUUUUAAAGGAAUCUCCACACCGGUUUCCACAAUGGUUUCACCAGUCUGCACUCCCACCAACAGUGGAGAAAUGUUCCUUUUUUCCCAUAGCCUCUCCAGCAUUUGUUUUUGUUUGAUUUCUUGAUAAUAGCUGUUCUUUCUGGAGUGAGGUGGAAUGUCGGUGUUGUUUUCAUUUGCAUCUCUUGAACAACCAGUGAUGUUGAACAUUUUUUCAUAUAUUUGUUUGCCCCUUCUACUUCUUCAUCUGAGAAGUAUCUAUUCUUUUCAGAGGCCCAUUUUUGGAUUGGGUCCUUAAAUUUGAGGGGUCUAAUUUUUUUCGAUUCUUUAUAUGUUCUAGAUAUUAGUCUUUUAUCUGAGGGGCUACUGGUUAAAAUAUUUUUGCACAUUAUGGAUUGUCUCUUCACUCUGUUGGUGAUUUCUUUUGCAGUGCAAAAACAUUUUAGUAAGAUGAGAUCCCGGUUGCUGACUCUUUGCACUAUUUUCCUGUGCAGUUUGGGUUUUGUUCAUGAAGUCCUUGCCUACACCUAUGUCCUCCAGAGCUCUACCUAUUCUCUCUUCCAGAAGAUUUAGUGUUUCUAUUUUAAUAUUUAGAUCUUUGAUCCAUUUUGACUGUAGUUUAGUGCAUGGUGAGAAACAUGGGUCUAGUUUUAAUCUUUGGCAUGUAGAAAUCCAGUUUUUCCAGCACCACUUAUUAAAGAGGCUAUCCUUCCUCCAGUGAACAUGUUUGGCCCCUUUGUCAAAGAUAAGGUGGCUAAGUGUGUUUGGUGUUAUUUCUGCCUCUUCUAGUGUGUUUCAUUGAUCUUCAGGUCUGUCUUUUUGUCAGUACCAUUGCUAUUUUUAUCACCGUGGCUUUGUAGUAUAAUUUCAAGUCAGGGAUUGUGGUGCCCCCUGACUUGUUUUUGUUACUCAGAAUUGCUUUUGCUAUUCUAGGUUUCUUCUGAUUCCAAAUAAAUUUUAGGAAUGUUUUCUCUAGUCGGGUAUGCUAAUGGUAAUUUGAUUGGGGUUGCAUUAAAUCUGUAUAAUAAUUUUGGGAGUAUGGCCAUUUUCACUACAUUGGUUCUUCCUACCCAAGAGCACAAGAGGAAUAAGGCUAUAUCAUGUACAGGUACAAACUCCCUUUUGAUGAAUGUGAUCAUUGCAUAUAUUUAAAUUGUACCAAUAAAAUUAAUUAAUAAAAAAUGUGGAGAUGUAAACAAGAAAAAAAAACUUAUGGCAUUUUCUCAGGAAGUGAACAGGGGCUGUCCAGGUGGAAAGCCAGAAUUCUGAUGAGAUACUUUCCAUCUGUGAGUCUUUGUUUAUAUCACUUAGCGUUCAUCAACCUCCAUUCCUCAGCUUGAAUGAAAUAAUACUCCAUUUACUCCCAAAGAGUGAACUGUGGUCAUCCAGUCAGACCCAUUUCUGAUCCAUUUUAUCCCAAAUGUCUCUUGAACUACUGGAUUAGUACUCGUACUAAUCUAUCCUCAUUAUAUUUUUAGUUGCAUUCUCUUUAUUACACUCUCCACAUAGCAGCCAAAGAAAUCUUUCUCAAAGGCAAACUCAGUCACAUUGUCCAUCUAUUGCAAAUCCUCCAGUAGCUCAUUAUUUUCAGGAUAAAGAUUUCAACUCCUUAUCCCGAUCCACAGGCCCUUCAUGAUCUGACACCCUCUGGCCUCUCCAGGCUCAUUUCACAUCAUUCUUCCCUCUGAAAUUUUAGUCUCCAGCCAUAAUAAACUAAUAGGUGUUUCCCAACAAACCAAUCUCUCUCACCUCCUUUGCAUUAGCUUCUUGCUCUACCAAGAAUGCUCCGGCCCUUUGAGCCCUCUUUUUCCUUCCCCUAACUUGCAAAUCCUGUAGAAUUCUAUCAUUACCCACCUGCUAGGUCCUCCCUCAGUCUCAACUUCUCUUCCUUCAUACCCCCACCCUGACCAGCUCCCUGUGCUUCUGUCCUCCUAGUACUUAUCAGCCUAAUUGAAACUGCCUUUUUGUUGAUUCCUCCCACUCAGUUCUGCAGGACUUUGUCUUAUCCUUGUGUCCUCAGCAGAGCCUGUUGAAUGAAUGAUGAAUGUUUAAAUGUUUUGUACACUGCAACUUGCUAUACAAGUGUUAAGUAUUAUGUAAUAUUAUUGUGUUCAGAUUGUUAGUAUGGUUGGCCUACUCACCCAUUUGAUAAUAAAUAUAUUUCAGUCACAUCAUUGUGGUUCCUUCUUAAGCAGAUACUAAAUAAAGGUUUCUACUUAUGAGCACUUAGACUGGGCUAGACUCUGAGGUAACAUUUUGCAUGAUGAUCUCAUUUACUCACAUCAUAGCAAUCUUAUAAGCUCGGUCCUAGUAUUAAAAAAAUCAUCUCUAUUUUUCACAUGAAAAAACUAUGGUGGGCUCAAAGAGGUUAAGUAGCUUGCCCAAUGUCACCUAGUCAGAUUUUCAAUUCAGGUAUUUUGAGUUCAAAAUUAAAGCCCUGCUAAAGUCUUCAGAUAACAACACAAGAGGUUGAAAAGGCAAUCCACAAAAUGGGAGGAAAAAAAAUCUGUCAAUUACAUAUCCAAUAAGGAGAAAAAAAAUAUAUAUGUAUAUAUAUGGAGAGAGAGACAGAGACAGAUGGGGUGGGGGAAAACCAAAAACUAUACACACAUCUGGAAAAGAAAAAUAGUAUGAUCUUCAACAGAUGGUGUUAUCUUCUUAUGGGGGACCCUAGAGGAU
ensembl:lncRNA